rnacentral:rRNA from 2 species
UAGGGAAUCUUCGGCAAUGGACGAAAGUCUGACCGAGCAACGCCGCGUGAGUGAAGAAGGUUUUCGGAUCGUAAAACUCUGUUGUUAGAGAAGAACAAGGACGUUAGUAACUGAACGUCCCCUGACGGUAUCUAACCAGAAAGCCACGGCUAACUACGUGCCAGCAGCCGCGGUAAUACGUAGGUGGCAAGCGUUGUCCGGAUUUAUUGGGCGUAAAGCGAGCGCAGGCGGUUUCUUAAGUCUGAUGUGAAAGCCCCCGGCUCAACCGGGGAGGGUCAUUGGAAACUGGGAGACUUGAGUGCAGAAGAGGAGAGUGGAAUUCCAUGUGUAGCGGUGAAAUGCGUAGAUAUAUGGAGGAACACCAGUGGCGAAGGCGGCUCCCUGGUCUGUAACUGACGCUGAGGCUCGAAAGCGUGGGGAGCAAACAGG